AACGAACGCUGGCGGCAUGCCUAACACAUGCAAGUCGAACGAUUGCCUUCGGGUGAUAGUGGCGCACGGGUGCGUAACGCGUGGGAAUCUGCCCUUAGGUUCGGAAUAACAGCUGGAAACGGCUGCUAAUACCGGAUGAUAUCGCGAGAUCAAAGAUUUAUCGCCUGAGGAUGAGCCCGCGUUGGAUUAGGUAGUUGGUGGGGUAAAGGCCUACCAAGCCGACGAUCCAUAGCUGGUCUGAGAGGAUGAUCAGCCACACUGGGACUGAGACACGGCCCAGACUCCUACGGGAGGCAGCAGUGGGGAAUAUUGGACAAUGGGCGCAAGCCUGAUCCAGCAAUGCCGCGUGAGUGAUGAAGGCCCUAGGGUUGUAAGGCUCUUUUACCCGGGAAGAUAAUGACGGUACCGGAAGAAUAAGCCCCGGCUACUCCGUG
rnacentral:rRNA from 1 species